rnacentral:rRNA from 1 species
UAGCUAGUUGGUGAGGUAAUGGCCCACCAAGGCGACGAUCGGUAGCCGGACUGAGAGGUUGAACGGCCACAUUGGGACUGAGACACGGCCCAGACUCCUACGGGAGGCAGCAGUGGGGAAUAUUGCACAAUGGGGGAAACCUUGAUGCAGCGACGCCGCGUGGAGGAAGAAGGUCUUCGGAUUGUAAACUCCUGUUGUUGAGGAAGAUAAUGACGGUACUCAACAAGGAAGUGACGGCUAACUACGUGCCAGCAGCCGCGGUAAAACGUAGGUCACAAGCGUUGUCCGGAAUUACUGGGUGUAAAGGGAGCGCAGGCGGGCGAUCAAGUUGGAAGUGAAAUCCAUGGGCUCAACCCAUGAACUGCUUUCAAAACUGAUUGUCUUGAGUAGUGCAGAGGUAGGCGGAAUUCCCGGUGUAGCGGUGGAAUGCGUAGAUAUCGGGAGGAACACCAGUGGCGAAGGCGGCCUACUGGGCACCAACUGACGCUGAGGCUCGAAAGUGUGGGUAGCAAACAGGAUUAGAUACCCUGGUAGUCCACACCGUAAACGAUGAUUACUAGGUGUUGGAGGAUUGACCCCUUCAGUGCCGCAGUUAACACAAUAAGUAAUCCACCUGGGGAGUACGACCGCAAGGUUGAAACUCAAAGGAAUUGACGGGGGCCCGCACAAGCAGUGGAGUAUGUGGUUUAAUUCGACGCAACGCGAAGAACCUUACCAAGUCUUGACAUCCUGCGACGAUGCUAGAAAUAGUAUUUUCCUUCGGGACGCAGAGACAGGUGGUGCAUGGUUGUCGUCAGCUCGUGUCGUGAGAUGUUGGGUUAAGUCCCGCAACGAGCGCAACCCUUAUGGUCAGUUACUACGCAAGAGGACUCUGGCCAGACUGCCGUUGACAAAACGGAGGAAGGUGGGGAUGACGUCAAAUCAUCAUGCCCUUUAUGACUUGGGCUACACACGUACUACAAUGGCGUUAAACAAAGAGAAGCAAGACCGCGAGGUGGAGCAAAACUCAGAAACAACGUCCCAGUUCGGACUGCAGGCUGCAACUCGCCUGCACGAAGUCGGAAUUGCUAGUAAUCGUGGAUCAGCAUGCCACGGUGAAUACGUUCCCGGGCCUUGUACACACCGCCCGUCACACCAUGAGAGCCGGGGGGACCCGAAGUCGGUAGUCUAACCGCAAGGAGGACGCCGCCGAAGGUAAAACUGGUGAUUGGGGUGAAGUCGAAACAAGGUAGCCGUAGGAGAACCUGCGGCUG